rnacentral:rRNA from 1 species
CCCUACGGGGCGCAGCAGCGAGGAAUAUUGGUCAAUGGUCGGGAGACUGAACCAGCCAAGCCGCGUGAGGGAUGAAGGUACAGAGUAUCGUAAACCUCUUUUGUCAGGGAACAAAGGCGGGGACGUGUCCCCGGAUGAGUGUACCUGAAGAAAAAGCAUCGGCUAACUCCGUGCCAGCAGCCGCAGUAAUACGGAGGAUGCGAGCGUUAUCCGGAUUUAUUGGGUUUAAAGGGUGCGCAGGCGGUCUGUUAAGUCAGCGGUCAAAGCCCGGGGCUCAACCCCGGCCCGCCGUUGAAACUGGCAGG